rnacentral:ncRNA from 1 species
AGUCCGUAUGGAGACGGAAACGUCUUCAUACCUCCCUGUUGGACUUCGCCGGGCCAGUUUGGCCCGGCUUUUUUU